rnacentral:sRNA from 1 species
UACCUUUUCUCCAAUGGCAUCUUGAAUGAGGAAUGUGUCCCCUGACAUCCUCUCAACCACUUGUCCAGUGCUCAUUUCCUUGUCAAAAAAGGCAAUGUCCUGUCUAAGUAUUGCCUUGAGAUACAAUGCCCUGAUUCGUGCAGCCUGCCUUUCUCCAGUGAUUGUCCAACAUGAUACCUCUACCAAAACAUAGCCAAUAUAUCAGGAAAUUUUGCACGCACGCACCUUGGUGACCUUGGCGAGGACGUCCGGCGAGGAGGUGGAGCCGAAGGCGUUGAUGACGUCGCCGAAGAUGAACGUCAUGAGCGGCUGCGCCAUCCCGUUCGCCACCGCCGCCGCCGCCCCCACCGCCAUCAGCGCCGCGUCCGCCCCGUCGGCGAACGCGAACAUCCGCCGCACCGCCACGCGCCCCACGUCGCUAUUCCCCGCCGCCGCCGCC